rnacentral:tRNA from 1 species
GUGGUUGUAGCUCAGUGAUAGAGUGCUCACCUAGCACAUGUGAGGCACUGAGUUCAAACCUCAGCACCACA